rnacentral:tRNA from 1 species
GUCUCUGUGGCGCAAGCGGUUAGAGCGUUCGGCUGAUAACCGAAAGGUUGGUGGUUCGAGCCAGCCCAGGGACG